UUUAUAUUGCAAGUAUUGGAGUAUCACUGGGUUGGAUAAGGCAAUAUUUUGAUACCGUCUUUCGCCCUCCCAUUUUUCAUAAAUUAGUUCUCUAAAAUACACCAAACACCAUCUCUCAAAACCUCAAAGGAUGUUGCUAAUUUGUCCAGCAUCCCCCUCUCUAUUUCCAAACCCACUUCACAAUUUCAAUGCCAAACACAAAACAACCAGAUUCCAAUCCCCACUGAAAAUCUCAGCCAAGGCAAAACAAACCAGCGACGACAGCACCACCAGCAUUGCGGAGAUAGCAGCCUUCGCUGGAGGCUUGGUUUCCACCCCAGUGAUUGGCUGGUCCCUCUACACUCUCAAAACAACCGGGUGCGGCCUGCCACCCGGACCGGGUGGUUCCAUCGGUGCACUCGAAGGAGUUAGCUACUUGGCCGUCCUGGGAAUUGUGGGUUGGUCCUUGUACACCAAAACCAAAACCGGGUCCGGUCUGCCCAACGGACCGUUUGGACUGCUGGGUGCUGUUGAAGGUCUGUCUUACUUGUCAUUGCUCUCCAUUCUGGUGGUGUUUGGGUUGCAGUUUUUUCAGAAUGGCUCCAUUCCUGGUCCUCUUCCAAGUGAUCAGUGCUUUGGAUAAUGUGGGAUUAUUGGCCACUACAAUCCUAUCUCGUGUUUGUGGACAUGGUUGGUCCUCCAAUUUGUCAUGCUUUUCCAUUACUAGGGUGUGCCCAAGACGAAUUCUAGAGUGAAGAUGGAUGUGACAAGAUGGUAGAAACUUAUAUGUAAUUUGGUUUAUCAAAUAAAUGCUAUUACUUAAUUACUUAUCUUUUAAAGGUUUUUAAUUCAUGUUGUCAAGAGUAGUCUUAUUUGAUGUAGUUAAAAGAUUGAGUUAUUUGAGAUGUAAUAAAAUUAAAAGAAGGAAGUGAUGUUCGAUGAAGAACAGUGAUUGGAGAAUUGAAAAUUCCAAGGUUAGAAGAUUA